rnacentral:rRNA from 1 species
AAGUCGUAACAAGGUUUCCGUAGGUGAACCUGCGGAAGGAUCAUUAUCGUACAACCGAGACACGAAGGGCUGUCGCUGACUUUUUUGUCGUGCACGCCCGAGUGCUCUCAAACAAUCCAUCUCACCCUAUGUGCACCACCGCGUGGGUCCCCCUUUUGGCUCGUUCCGAGGGGGGCUUGCGUUUUCACACAAACUUAAAUACAAUGUAGAAUGUCUUUUGCGAUAACACGCAAUUAAUACAACUUUCAACAACGGAUCUCUUGGCUCUCGCAUCGAUGAAGAACGCAGCGAAAUGCGAUACGUAAUGUGAAUUGCAGAAUUCAGUGAAUCAUCGAAUCUUUGAACGCACCUUGCGCCCCUUGGCAUUCCGAGGGGCACACCCGUUUGAGUGUCGUGAAAUUCUCAAAAGCCUUUCUUUUGAAAGGAUUUUGGACAUGGAGGCUUUUGCUGGCUUCACCUCGAAGCCAGCUCCUCUUAAACGAAUUAGUGGGGUCUGCUUUGCCGAUCCUCGACGUGAUAAGAUGUUUCUACGUCUGGGGUUCGGUGAUGUCUUUUGGGCACCUGCUUCUAAUCGUCUCAUCGACAAUGAUGGCGUUCCGGUCACCGCCGUCUCAUCGGUCGGUCGGCUUGACCCACCAAAAAAACUUUGACCUCAAAUCGGGUGAGACUACCCGCUGAACUUAA